rnacentral:rRNA from 1 species
UACAGAGGGUGCAAGCGUUAAUCGGAAUUACUGGGCGUAAAGCGUGCGUAGACGGUUAUGUAAGUCAGGUGUGAAAGCCCCGGGCUCAACCUGGGAAUUGCAUUUGAGACUGCAUAGCUAGGGUGCGGAAGAGGGAAGCGGAAUUUCCGGUGUAGCGGUGAAAUGCGUAGAUAUCGGAAGGAACAUCAGUGGCGAAGGCGGUUCUCUGGGCAUGAUCUGACGCUGAGGAGCGAAAGUGUGGGGAGCGAACAGG